AAUCAACGCUGGCGGCGUGCCUCAGACAUGCAAGUCGAACGAUUAAAGCUCUCUUCGGAGAGUGUAUAGAGUGGCGCACGGGUGAGUAACACGUAAGUAAUCUACCUUCGAGUGGGGAAUAACGUCCGGAAACGGACGCUAAUACCGCAUAAUGCAGCGGCAUCGCAAGAUGACAGUUGUUAAAGAUUUAUCGCUUGAAGAGGAGCUUGCGGCAGAUUAGCUAGUUGGUAAGGUAAUGGCUUACCAAGGCUACGAUCUGUAACCGGUCUAAGAGGACGGUCGGUCACACUGACACUGAAUAACGGGUCAGACUCCUACGGGAGGCAGCAGUCGGGAAUUUUGGGCAAUGGGCGAAAGCCUGACCAGCAACGCCGCGUGAAGGAUGAAGUAUUUCGGUAUGUAAACUUCGAAAGAAUGGGAAGAAUAAAUGACGGUACCAUUUAUAAGGUCCGGCUAACU
rnacentral:rRNA from 1 species